rnacentral:tRNA from 1 species
GCGGAUAUGGCGGAAUUGGCAGACGCGCAUGAUUCAGGUUCAUGUGGUGAGAGCCGUGCAGGUUCAAGUCCUGUUAUCCGCACCA